UGUGUGUGUGUGUGUGUGUGUGUGUGUGUGUGUGUGUGUAACGGAGCAGCAGCCACAUCACACAGCGCUUCUCCGCUGCAUUCUCGCAGCUCUCCUUUCAUCUCAGCGCGGGGAAGUAACGGAGCGCGAGCCCGACGAGGGGACAUUAUGUCUCACCUCUGAGUCUUUUACUGCAACAUUAUUUUCUUCUCUUUCUCUUCUUCAUCGUCAUCUUUUUCUCCUUCUCUCCACCAUCUGCGGCUUGGAGCUGCUUCAACUCCACUGAGCUGGAGAUUUAUUAUUAUUAUUUGAAACUUUAUUUAUUAUUUAAAUUUUGUUUUGUUUAAAUUCUCACGCCCUCGGUCUCCGGGAGGAUCACGAGGCGGAAAAAAAGUUUAUAAAUGGCUGCUUUAAGAAGACUCUGUGGUUGUGAUCAUUCUCCUUUCACAAGUUUUGACCAGCAAUGAAAUCAAACUUCAAAAAAAGAUUAAGAGAUUUUCUUUAAUCGGAGAUUUGCAUGCAUUACCGUAUGUAGAGGAAGGUACUUUUCAAUUGCUCAUGCAAAACCAGAACUGUGACGUGUUACACCGAUCACAAUGUUCCUGUUCUCUGUUCUGAGGAAUUAUAGCCUAUGGUAUGGGGCUUUUUUCCUCCCCGGUGCUUGGACCCCUAAUAAUUGCUAGCGUUAAUUAAUAAUGAAGAGAGUAAUAGAGAAGCAGUUCAUUUCCUGAGAGCUGCAAAACGGUCACAGCUUCAUAUUCAUGCUCUCUAAUAGCAGCAGCUCACUCACAUGGACUUGUACCAACAUCGAUUUUUUUUCUGCAAGGAGAAGUUUAUUUAACUCCUUAUGUACGGAAGGAGUCUCCAGUGUCAGUGCUGUGUAACACUCAGAGGGUGAAGCUGUAACUUUUCUGAAAUCUUCAGGACGGAGGAGUUUACGCUUCUUAGCAGUUUCUCACGAACAAAAUACACGCUGCAUUUUAUUGUUGCAUUUAUUCGUUUUUUUUCCCCUAUUAACUUGAAGAGAGAGAAGUGGAGUUCACGUGUUCCUCUCCAUGCUUUGGGGUUCCUCCGGUUUCCUCCCUCAAUCCAAAGACAUGUGUAGGCUGAUUGGCAUGUCUAAAUUAUCCAUAGUGUGUGUGUGUGUGUUUGUGUGAGAGAGAGAGAGUGUGAGUAUGUGAAUGUGUGUGAGUGUGAGUGUAUGUGUGUGUGUGUGUGUGUGUGUGUGGGUGGAACGGAAACUGAUAUUCCUAAUCACAGCCAUAAGGAACAGGUUCAUACACUCAGACGAACGAGGAUGACGAGGAUGAAAGCUCUUGUUUGACCUUUUUUUUGGGGGGAGGGGGGUUAGUGAGGAGGUGUGAUUGCGCGGGGUGGUUGCAGUGCUAGUGCCUGAGGUCCUGAGGAAAAAAGAA
ensembl:lncRNA